UACGGAGGGUGCGAGCGUUGUCCGGAAUUAUUGGGCGUAAAGGGCUCGUAGGCGGUCUGUCGCGUCGGGAGUGAAAACUCAGGGCUUAACCCUGAGCCUGCUUCCGAUACGGGCAGACUAGAGGUAUGCAGGGGAGAACGGAAUUCCUGGUGUAGCGGUGAAAUGCGCAGAUAUCAGGAGGAACACCGGUGGCGAAGGCGGUUCUCUGGGCAUUACCUGACGCUGAGGAGCGAAAGUGUGGGGAGCGAACAGG
rnacentral:rRNA from 1 species